rnacentral:tRNA from 1 species
UGAAAUAACUAAUUUAAAGCUUCUAACUUUAAGAUUAAUGAAUAAACUUCAUUUUAUUUCU